CACGUAGGGACCAAGCGUUGUCCGGAUUCAUUGGGCGUAAAGAGCUUGUAGGCGGUUUGUCGCGUCUGCUGUGAAAUUUCGGGGCUCAACCCCGAACUUGCAGUGGGUACGGGCAGACUAGAGUGUGGUAGGGGAGACUGGAAUUCCUGGUGUAGCGGUGAAAUGCGCAGAUAUCAGGAGGAACACCGAUGGCGAAGGCAGGUCUCUGGGCCACUACUGACGCUGAGAAGCGAAAGCAUGGGGAGCGAACAGG
rnacentral:rRNA from 1 species